CCGGUUUGAACUCAGAUCAUGUAAAAUAUUAAAGGUCGAACAGACCUAAAUUUUUAGCUUCUACACCAAAACUUAAUUUUAAUCCAACAUCGAGGUCGCAAACUUCUUUUUCGAUUUGAACUCUUUAAAGAAAUUACGCUGUUAUCCCUAAGGUAAUUUAAUCUUGUAAUCAUAAAAAAUGGAUCAAUAAUUCAUAAAUCAAUGUUUUUAUUAAAGAAAAGUUUACUAAAUUUUCCUAUCACCCCAAUAAAAUAAAUUCUACUAUUCAAAAUUUUAAGAUUCUAAAUAUUCUAAAUAAUAAAAUUUAUAAAACUCUAUAGGGUCUUCUCGUCUUUUAAAAAUAUUUAAGCUUUUUAACUUAAAAAUAAAAUUCUAAUAAAUUUAACUUGAGACAGUAUUUUUCUCGUUCAACCAUUCAUUCCAGCUUUCAAUUAAAAAACUAAUUAUUAUGCUACCUUCGCACGGUCAAAGUACCGCGGCCAUUUAAAAAUCAGUGGGCAGGUCAGACUUUAAAUUAAAUUCAAAAAGACAUGUUUUUGAUAAACAGGCG
rnacentral:rRNA from 1 species